rnacentral:tRNA from 1 species
UGUAGCCAAAGGGAAGAGUGCUUGCCUAGCAUGCAUGAGGUCCUGGGUUCAAUCCCCAGUACAA